AUUGAACGCUGGCGGCAGGCCUAACACAUGCAAGUCGAGCGGCUGCACAGUAAUAGCUCGUGGUUACGGCGGCGGACGGGCGGGUGAUGCCUAGGAAUCUGGCUGUCAGCUGUGUCUAAGGUCCGGAAACGGGCGCUAUUACCGCAUACGUCCUGAGGGAGAAAGGGGGGGAUCUUCGGACCUCACGCUCUCAGAUGAGCCUAGGUCGGAUUAGCUAGUUGGUGGGGUAAAGGCCUACCAAGGCGACGAUCCGUAACUGGUCUGAGAGGAUGAUCAGUCACACUGGAACUGAGACACGGUCCAGACUCCUACGGGAGGCAGCAGUGGGGAAUAUUGGACAAUGGGCGAAAGCCUGAUCCAGCCAUGCCGCGUGUGUGAAGAAGGUCUUCGGAUUGUAAAGCACUUUAAGUUGGGAGGAAGAGCAGUAAGUUAAUACCUUGCUGUUUUGACGUUACCAAAAGAAUAAGCACCGGCUAACUUCGUG
rnacentral:rRNA from 1 species